rnacentral:rRNA from 1 species
CUACGGGUCGCUGCAGUGGGGAAUAUUGCACAAUGGGGGAAACCCUGAUGCAGCAACGCCGCGUGGAGGAUGACGCAUUUCGGUGUGUAAACUCCCUUUAUAUAGGAAGAUAAUGACGGUACUAUAUGAAUAAGCACCGGCUAACUCCGUGCCAGCAGCCGCGGUGAAUACGGAGGGUGCAAGCGUUACUCGGAAUCACUGGGCGUAAAGCGCGCGCAGGCGGCCUUUUAAGUUGGAUGUGAAAGCCUAUGGCUUAACCAUAGAACUGCAUCCAAAACUAUCAGGCUAGAGUCUGGGAGGGGAAGAUGGAAUUAGUUGUGUAGGGGUAAAAUCCGUAGAGAUAACUAGGAAUACCAAAAGCGAAGGCGAUCUUCUGGAACAGUACUGACGCUGAGGCGCGAAAGCGUGGGGAGCAAACAGGAUUAGAUACCCGCGUAGUC